ensembl:lncRNA
CAGACAGCCAGGAUGACGAAGUGAGACUUUAACUCAAACAAACAAAACCAAAACUGCCCUCUAAGCAUUCAAACAGUGUAUUCGGUUUUAGCGUAGUAAAAUUUUAGAGCAAAGUGCCCAAGGGGGCCAGAAGAGGGCGUCGGAUCCCCUGGAACUGGAGUUACAGACAAUUGUGAGUUGUCAUGUGGGUGCUGUGAUUCGAACCUGGGUUCCUGACCACCGAACCAUCUCACCAGACCUCGUUUUGACUUUAAGGUCCGCCUUGGCUACGUAGCCAGUUUGGGGCCAGAAUGGGCUGCAUGAGAUCCUGUCUCAAAUGAGUAGCCCGGAGGUACAGCUAGGUGCUGCAGAGCCUGUCCUAGGUUCGAUAUCCAGCAAUGAGAAAACAAGACGACUCAGCCAGAAACCGGAUAAGGGCGCGCGCUUACCACCGUGCCUGACCGCAUUGUAUGUGUCUGCAGGAAAACACACACACACCAGUGUGUGCAGUGCAUGGAGGUCAGACGAGGGCGUCGGAGCUCUACGCACCCGUGGAAGCAAGCCAGAGGACAACUUGAUGGACUAUAAACUUCUUCUUCCAUCAUGUGGAUCUGCAAGCUGGAACUCAGGUUAUCAAGCUUGGUGGCAUGUGUGCCCAUCUCACUGAACCUCUAACUUUUUCUAAAUUAAUUAACUUUUUCUGAUGGAAUAUGCUGUAUAGACCAUGCUGGCUUUGAACUCAUCAAGAUCUGCCUGUUUCUGCCUCCUGAAUGCUGGGAUGCUGGAAUGCCUCACUACAGUCGUUCAUAUUUAUUUUGAGCCAAACUGCCACCAUAUUGGCCUGCUUGGCCUGGAACUAAGAGACCUGACUCUGCUUCUCGGGUAUUUGGAUUAAGACAGAAAUCACUAUACCAGCUAAUUUUACACCCCCACCCCCACCCCGCCCCAACAGGGUUUCUCUGUAACUUUGGAGGCUGUCCUGGAACUCACUCUGUAGACCAGGCUGGUCUCAAACUCACAGAGAUCCGCCUGCCUCUGCCUUCCAAGUGCUGGGAUUAAAGGCGUGUGCCACCACCGCUCGGCCUAAUUUUAUAUUUUAAAGAUAUGUUUUUUUUUAAUGUGCAUGGGUGUUUUGCCUGUGCAUGUAUCUAUGCACCACUGUCUUGCCUGGUGCCUACGGAGAUUGAACAGAAGGGAGCCUCGGAGCCCCUGAAACUAGUAACAGAUAGUUGUGAGCCAUCCUGUAGGUGCUGAGGAUUGAAAUCGGGUCCUCUGCAUAGCAACAAGUGCUCUUAACCUCGGCGCCACUUCUCCAGACCGCUGUUCUUUACUUUUUAGAGCAUUUCUGUAGCCAAGGGUUGAUUGACCCUGAACUCCUGACCCUCUUGCCUGCACUGACAGAAAGAGUACCAACGGGUUUUAUUUUUAAAAUGGCUUGUCACCCCGCCCCCCAUGAAAGUCUCUUUAACUGAAACUACUUUUUUAUUCCUCAAAGGCAUUCCCCAUCUGAAACAGCACCUCGAAGAAGGCUGGGUCGGUUUGGUAACCGCGAUGACUUUGCCUCAUUCGUGGAAAACUCCUAGCUCGGUGUAGGCACUUUAGGGUUAAACUACCAUCUUGGAAAUCAAGGCGACAGGAAUGAAGAAAGGGAGAGCCACGGGCUAUCUGCCCUGCGGGGCGAAUGCGUCCCCGCAGGAUGGAAAAACCCCAGCCGAGCCUUGAGGGCGCGCGCGAGAAGAUGGAGUUUUCCCAUCCCGCCAGCGCGCUCCGCGCCUGCGCCCUGUGCCCGCGAUGCGUCGCGCGAGGCCGUUAGGACGGGGAAAGGAGGCGAAAGGGAAGGAAGGGAAGGGAGCGGAGG